AGAGGUUUAAACAGGGUCACCGUCUCAUCUACAGAGGUUAUAACAGGGUCACCGUCUCAUCUACAGAGGUUAUAACAGGGUCACCGCUCAUCUCAGAGGUUAUAACAGGGUCACCGUCUCAUCUACAGAGGUUAUGAAGGGUCACCGUCUCAUCUACAAGGUUAUAACAGGGUCACCGUCUCAUCUAGAGAGGUUAUGACAGGGUCACGGUCUCAUCUAGAGGUUAUAACAGGGUCAUCGUCUCAUCUAGAGGUUAUAACAGGGUCACCGUCUCAUCUAGAGGUUAUAACAGGGUCACCGUCUCAUCUACAGAGGUUAUGACAGGGUCACCGUCUCAUCUACAAAGGUUAUAACAGGGUCACCGUCUCAUCUAGAGGUUAUAACAGGGUCACCGUCAUCUAGAGGUUAUAACAGGGUCACCGUCUCAUCUACAGAAGUUAUAACAGGGUCACUGCUCAUUAGAGAUUAUAACAGGGUCACCGGCUCAUCUACAGAG
rnacentral:lncRNA from 1 species